rnacentral:rRNA from 1 species
CCUACGGGAGGCAGCAGUGAGGAAUAUUGGUCAAUGGACGAGAGUCUGAACCAGCCAAGUAGCGUGAAGGAUGACUGCCCUAUGGGUUGUACACUUCUUUUAUAUGGGAAUAAAAUGUUCCACGUGUGGGAUUUUGUAUGUACCAUAUGAAUAAGGAUCGGCUAACUCCGUUCCAGCAGCCGCGGUAAUACGGAGGAUUCGAGCGUUAUCCGGAUUUAUUGGGUUUAAAGGGAGCGUAGGUGGCUUGUUAAGUCAGUUGUGAAAGUUUGCGGCUCAACCGUAAAAUUGCAGUUGAAACUGGCAGUCUUGAGUGCAGGAGAGGUGGGCGGAAUGCGUGGUGUAGCGGUGAAAUGCUUAGAUAUCACGAAGAACUCCGAUUGCGAAGGCAGCACUCUGGUGCGCAACUGACGCUGAGGCUCGAAAGCGUGGGUAGCGAACAGGAUUAGAUACCCUAGUAGUC